CUACGGGCGGCUGCAGUGGGGAAUAUUGCACAAUGGGGGGAACCCUGAUGCAGCAACGCCGCGUGGAGGAUGACACAUUUCGGUGCGUAAACUCCUUUUAUAUAAGAAGAUAAUGACAGUAUUAUAUGAAUAAGCACCGGCUAACUCCGUGCCAGCAGCCGCGGUAAUACGGGGGGUGCAAGCGUUACUCGGAAUCACUGGGCGUAAAGAGCAUGUAGGCGGGUAGAAAAGUUGGAAGUGAAAUCCUAUGGCUUAACCAUAGAACUGCUUCCAAAACUCUUUACCUAGAAUAUGGGAGAGGUAGAUGGAAUUUCUGGUGUAGGGGUAAAAUCCGUAGAGAUCAGAAGGAAUACCGAUUGCGAAGGCGAUCUACUGGAACAUUAUUGACGCUCAGAUGCGAAAGCGUGGGGAGCAAACAGGGUUAGAUACCCUAGUAGUC
rnacentral:rRNA from 1 species